ACAUUAACCGGAAGCAUUCCACCAGUUAGACUGUGGGAGCCUGGUGUGGUGGUAAAGGAUAGCAUGUCGAUUUGAGCAAUUUUGGGGGGUAACCUUUUUAAAUGGAAGUUACCUAGGCAAUCCUGACUUUUUUUAAAGUAUUUUUUUAAAUUGAAUAUCUGAAACAUACAAUAUACUUUCAGAGCGACACACAGAUGCCUCCAUGGUCAAAUCCCUCCAGGGCACGUUGACAGAUCUCCCACCAGGCCAAAAAAUGUGAAGCCCAACCCCCCCAAGGUUCCCCAAUAGCUGUCCCUCAACCAUUUGAUACCCUUCCCACAGACCCCCUCCCCCCCAAGAAAAACAAAAAUACAAUUAAUUCCAUUCCCCACCCCCAAGAAACCCCCAAAGCACCAACAACCAAGAGAAUGAACUAAAGAGAAAAAAGAAAGUUGAGUGCUUUUAUACAAUAUAAUUCAGAAGUUUACAUACACCUUAGCCAAAUACAUUUAAACUCAGUUUUUCACAAUUCCUGACAUUUAAUCCGAGUAAAAGUUCCCUGACUUAGGUUAGGAUCACCACUUUAUUUUAAGAAUGUGAAAUGUCAGAAUAAUACUAGAGUGAUUUAUUUCAGCUUUUAUUUAUUUAUUCACAUUCCCAGUGGGUCAGAAGUUUACAUACACUCAACUAGUAUUCCUCCAUGCAGAUCUCCUCUAGAGCAGUGAUGUUUUGGGGCUGUUGCUGGGCAACACAGACUUUCAACUCCCUCCAAAGAUUUUCUAUGGGGUUGAGAUCUGGAGACUGGCUCGGCCACUCCAGGACCUUAAAAUGCUUCUUACGAAGCCACUCCUUCGUUGACCGGGCGGUGUGUUUGGGAUCAUUGUCAUGCUGAAAGACCCAGCCACGUUUCAUCUUCAAUGCCCUUGCUGAUGGAGGUUUUCACUCAAAAUCUCACGAUCCAUGGACCCAUUCAUUCUUUCCUUUACACGGAUCAGUCGUCCUGGUCCCUUUGCAGAAAAACAGCCCCAAAGCAUGAUGUUUCCACCGCCAUGCUUCACAGUAGGUAUGGUGUGCUUUGGAUGCAACUCUGUAUUCUUUCUCCUCCAAACACGACGAGUUGAGUUUUUACCAAAAAGUUCUAUUUUGGUUUCAUCUGACCAUAUGACAUUCUCCCAAUCUUCUUCUGGAUCAUCCAAAUGCUCUCUAGCAAACUUUAGAUGGGCCUGGACAUGUACUGGCUUAAGCAGGGGGACACGUCUGGCACUGCAGGAUUUGAGUUGCUGGCGGCGUAGUGUGUUACUGAUGGUCCCAGCUCUCUGCAGGUCAUUCACUAGGCCCCCCUGUGUGGUUCUGGGAUUUUUGUGAUCAUUUUGACCCCACGGGGUGAGAUCUUGCGUGGAGCCCCAGAUUGAGGGAGAUUAUCAGUGGUCUUGUAUGUCUUCCAUUUCCUAAUAAUUGCUCCCACAGUUGAUUUCUUCAAACCAAUCUGCUUACCUAUUGCAGAUUCAGUCUUCCCAGCCUCGUGCAGGUCUACAAUUUUGUUUCUGGUGUCCUUUGACAGCUCUUUGGUCUUGGCCAUAGUGGAGUUUGGAGUGUGACUGUUUGAGGUUGUGGACAGGUGUCUUUUAUACUUAUAACAAGUUCAAACAGGUGCCAUUACAGGUAACGAGUGGAGGACAGAGGAGCCUCUUAAAGAAGAAGUUACAGGUCUGUGAGAGCCAGAAACCUUGCUUGUUUGUAGGUGACCAAAUACUUAUUUUCCACCAUAAUUUGCAAAUAAAUUCAUUAAAAAACCUACAAUGUGAUUUUCAGGAUUUUUUUUCUCUAGUUUUGUCUGUCAUAGUUGAAGUGUACCCAUGAUAAAAUGAUGGGGGGGCUGUAAUUUAAGUUGGAGAACUUGCACAAUUGGUGGCUGACUAAAUACUUUUUGCCCCACUGUAGAUAGGCACUUUUUUUUGUCUAGUUAGUGUCCCAGAUAUAACACCCCAAAAAAUUGCUCAUGAUUUAAAAAACAAAUCGUCAGGAGUAGGCAGCGCCGUAAGUGAGUAAACUGAGAUAUGUCGAAGGAGUUGAACAGUUUUUUUCUUCAUAAAUAGACAGUUAUUUACCUCUCCAUGGUUGCAGGAUCUUGUCUAUUUUUUUUCUAUAGAAAUUCAUUGCGGAGAGCUAAUUUAUAUCUUUUGUGAUACGAAUACGAAGUAUGUCUACUUCACUGUCGGACCAUUUUAUAGGUAAACUGCAGGGUAAUGUAAGAGUUGUAUUUUUAAAGAUCCAAUACGUAAUAAUGUACAUUUAUCAUAGUUAGGUUUUAGUCCAGAAAAGUUAUCUAGAUCUUCAAUGAGACAUUGCAGGGAUCUAGCUUGCGGACUUGAUAUAAAACUUGAGUCAUCGCCAUACAUGGACACCUUUGUUUUAAGCCUUUGUUUUAAGCCUUGGAUUUCUAAUCCUCUGUUGUUAUUGGAUCUGAUUUUAAUAGCUAGCAUUUCGAUGGCCAUAACGAAUAGAUAUGUUGACAGUGGACUCCCUUGUUUAACUCCUCUUGACAAUUCAAAAGUCUGAGAAGUAGCCGUUAUUUACUAUUUUACACCUGGGGUUGCUAUACAUUUCUUUUACCCAUUUUAUAGGAGAAUUGUCUCAAUUUAAUUGCAUUUCGCUAGUAUGUUUGCAUUACAACAUUUAAGUGCAAGGGGCCUCCAGUUUUUUAGGUAUACUGGGUCUUUAUAUUUGCCAUCUGGGACUUGUUUUAAUAAUAUAGAAAUCAGACCUUCCUGCUGAGUACCUAACAGACUACCAUUUCUAUAGGAGUAGUUAAAACAAUGGCGCUUUUAGUAUCUCAAAAACGGUUUGACAUACCUCUACCGGUAUGCUAUCAAGCCCUGGGGUUUUUCCAGACUGAAAGGAUUUAAAAGCCUCAAAGUUAUUCCUCUGUAAUUUGGCCUUUGGACUGAUCUGAUUUGUUAAUUUUCAAUUUUUUAUAUUAUUUGUAAAGAAUUCCUUACCGUAAUCUUCAUUCAGUGGGAGAAGAUGAGACGGAAAAGAGAACGUCUGCCUAAAAUAAUUAGCUUCCUCUUUUGAAAUAUUAUUCUGAGAAUCAUAGAUGACUCCCGUCUUCAGUAACGAGUUUCUGCAAAAAAAAAAAAAAAAACUGUACUGUUAGUUCAUUGAUUUCCCUUGUUAGUCUUGUCUCUAGCCAGAAACUUCUUUUUCAUUAUUGAUGAAUAAUGAAUUGAAUGACCUCAGAAGGUACAUUUUAAAGGUAUCUGAAACAAUAAGGGGAUUUGCUGAAAAUUCAGUUAUAAAUUAUUUUGUCUCAGUUAAAUAGUUGUCCUCCAGUAAACUUUGAUUAAAUUUCCAAUAUCCCGUCUACGUGGAAAAUCUAUAAGAGUUAUGUGAACGCCAAUUAGAUGAUCCGAUCGCAUUCCGUCUCCUAUUUAAAACGUUUUAUGCACGAGAGAAAGAUACAAAGUAGUCAAGACGACUAGCUUGAUGAACUCUCCUCCAUGUAUAUCUCACUAGGUCAGGGUUUUUUAGUCUCCAAAUAGCCACUAUUUCUAAUGUGUCCAUAAUAUUUGUGAUUUCCUUAAGGGCACGGUGAUGAUAGUUUGUAGAGCGAUUACCUUUACGGUCCAUUGAGACUAGAACAUGCAGAGAACCUUGACGAGAACCAGUGGAACCUUCUUCAGAUUACAGACCGGUUCUUCCUGUCCAUUAAUCACGCCAUUCAUGAUGGGAAACAAGAAGGAUUCCAAGAAGAAUUCCCGCCCUUCUGUAUCUCAAGACCAGACUACUGCUGAAGAUAUCAUGUUGGCACAUCCUGCCACAUUUGGACUCCCAGAGGGUCUUCCCUCCACCUCUCAACAGGAGAAGCCUCGCAAACGUCCCCUUCUAAUCAGGAUGUUUUCCACCAUCUCCAUAGGCCUAUCCAAGCCAUUCAAACGGUUUUCAAAGCAAGCUUAAUACAACAAUUUCCUUUAAUACAGUAAUAUUUGCAUUGAA